rnacentral:misc_RNA from 1 species
AACAUCGCGCACCUGCGGGAACCUGCGGAAGGAUCAUUACAGAGUUGCAAAACUCCCUAAACCAUUGUGGACGUUACCUAAACCGUUGCUUCGGCGGGCGGCCCGGGUCCUUCCCGGCGCCCAUCGGCCCUCGCGGGCGCCCGCCGGAGGUAAACCAAACUAUUGCAUUGUAUGGCCUCUCUGAGUCUUCUGUACUGAAUAAGUCAAAACUUUCAACAAUGGAUCUCAGAUCGGAAGAGC